rnacentral:sRNA from 1 species
GCUAACGUUUUUGAGUAGAAUUCGAUCAUAUCGCAGCUUAUAACUACCAACUUGGACAUUGAUUUAAUUUGAUUUAUCUGGUGCUUUGGCUCUGAGUCUCUGCUUUCAAACCUCACCUCCAGCUUGUUCUUAAUUGUUUGCUUGAGGGCAAGCAAAGACUAAGUCUGUGGAGUUGAUAAGUGUGCAUUUUACAUAUUUUGAGCAUCCAUUUGUCAUCACAUUAGCAUCAUAUUACCACUGUUUUAUACCAUUUCUCAUCAUUUGUCAUCACUUUGCAUGUUUAGGAUAAUUUUGCAUGAAUGUUGCAUAUUUAUGUUGUUUUCAGGUGAUUUGGAGCUGUUGGCAAGCUAAUUGGAUGAAAUGGACCUAAUCAUAUCAAUAUACUCGACCCUGAGGUAGAGUACUGCCAUCCUGGAAUUUCUGAAGCACCCGAUCACACCUCCGCAGCCAGUCACUCGACCGCAACACUCUGGUUCACCACUCGACCCCCUGGUCGAGUAGAAGGCAUCACCACUUCUCUCCACCACU